AACGAACGCUGGCGGCAGGCUUAACACAUGCAAGUCGAACGGGCGUAGCAAUACGUCAGUGGCAGACGGGUGAGUAACACGUGGGAACCUUCCUCGUUGUACGGAACAACUCAGGGAAACUUGAGCUAAUACCGUAUACGUCCGAGAGGAGAAAGAUUUAUCGCAAUGAGACGGGCCCGCGUCGGAUUAGGUAGCUGGUGGGGUAACGGCCUACCAAGCCGACGAUCCGUAGCUGAUCUGAGAGGAUGAUCAGCCACACUGGGACUGAGACACGGCCCAGACUCCUACGGGAGGCAGCAGUGGGGAAUCUUGGACAAUGGGCGCAAGCCUGAUCCAGCCAUGCCGCGUGAGUGAAGAAGGCCUUAGGGUUGUAAAGCUCUUUUACCAGGGACGAUAAUGACGGUACCUGGAGAAUAAGCCCCGGCAAACUUCGUGCCAGCCGCCGCCGUAAAAC
rnacentral:rRNA from 1 species